UAAGAUAUAAAAAAAGACACAUGAUCUACAUUCUGAAUAAGCAUUUUUAAAAUUUAUGUUUAUUAUAUAUUUGCAUGGUGAUAGCUAUGUUAUGUAAAUGUAGGUCAAUGAGGAAUAAGGAUCCUCCAUUUGAAGGAAAUGUCAAAACAUUUAUAUCUUACCUUCUGUCAUGUGUAGACUUCCAGAAAGGACUCAAAAGAUAGCCCAUUACAGUAGAAUAAAAUAGGAAAUAGAAUUUCUCAGCAAAUAAGCAAUAUGCAAUGUAUUUAGCUAAAUUCUGAUUAAUAAAUAAAAAGGCAAUCUAUUGCAGGAUCCAAUCUGGUUCGAUCACUGGGACCAGAGGUUUAGUCUUCAGAUCUUUCGAACUUGUGCUGGAGCCCCCAUUCUCAGCGAACCUCUCUCUCACCAGAAUGUGUGGACUCCAGCACAAGUCCAAAAGCUUAGAAGACUAAAUCUUUGGUUCAAGUGACCCACCCAGACUGGAUCCUGCAACAUUAUCCUGGGACAUAUAUACUUGCCUUCAUUUGUAAGGCAAUCUGUAUUGAAUCUGUGAAACAUGUAGUCAAAUCCCAACCCCAGGUUGUGUAGAAAAUGUGGCAUUUCAUAAGCUAUGAAAGGUAUAUGCUAUGUCUUAAAACAGCUCUGUUUUUCAUAAAAUUCCUAACUGGGAAAGAAGAUACAGCGAAGCCAUAAGAAGAAUAUGGAACGCUCAUCUAUAAUCCUGGCAUUCCCCAAUGCCAUAAAAUUGAUGGUGAUAGCAGACAGGAUAAUCACUAAUGUUCAUCAGCUUUAUUAUGCUGCCACAUAAAUGCAGUCUAUCCCCCAAUUCCCAACAAAAUGUGUUUAAAUGAAUCUUUCUCUACUGUCUCCCAAAUUUAUAAAAGCUUGGCAGAAAGACUUUUAAUUAUUAGAAAUUUAGAAAGUUUCAAUGAGGCCAUAAAUUUUGAUAAUUUCUGUCUUUCUGCUCUGUCCCCCCUUUCUUUCUCUCUGCUCUUUUUCUUCUACAUUAGAGGGUUGCCAGAAAAAGAACAUAAACCUGCAAGAGGUUUUAACAGAUAAUAGAGAGCUUGUCAAAAAUAUCUCCCUCCUGAUAUAGAAGAAUGCUUGUUUUAGCCUUCUUAUCAAUACAAAUAUGUCAAAGCCUGAAAGGAUAAAAAGCAAGACCGAAACAAUGAAAGCUGUAAUUUUGAUUCUGGCUGGAGUCUAAAAGACUCACUGUGAAAAAAUGUGCAAAGUAUGUGAACACUAAAACUACUGGAAGAACUACAACAAAAAACUAAAAAGAAGAAAGAAGGAAGAGGGCAUUCAAUGGAAGGUGAAUUCCUUCACCUUUUUCUUUGAUUGAUCUACUAGUGCAAACCAGCUAUUUAAAUGAUAAAACACCUUUGCAAAAAUGAAGAGAACAAUAUAGUUUGGAUUUAUGUAUGCUUAUUCAAAGCAUGCUUGAAUGUAAUUAAUGGAAUUCUGAAAAAUACGUUUGUAUAUUAUAACUUCAAAAUAAUAUUGAAGAUUAAACAUUUGUAACUUAGUGAAGUAAAAAUUAAUUAUUAGAAAUGUAGUAUAAUUUACCAAAUGCAGGCAGGCAAUUCAUAUUAUAAAAAACAAGAAAGCCAUAUUCACCCACUACAAAAAAUAAAAUAAAAUAAAAGUCCAUGUUUUACUACACUUUCUUAAGAGUAUAUAUGAGCAAUAAAAUUCAUAGGCUUUUACAUUUAGCUAAUAUUUAAGGCUUUUGUUUUAUUCUCUUCUUGCUUUUUAAAAUAAUAUCUGAUAAUGGUUCUAGGAACCAAAAAAAUUUGCAUCAUCUUCUGUUUUAUUAUUUUAAUAAAGAUUUAACUCAACUAUGAUUUUGUGUAUAAGUCCCCUUUCAAACCCUCCCUGGUAAAUUUCUAAAACAGAUAAUCAACAUUUUUUCUCAGACAUUUUCCCCCUCAUGAAGAAUGAGUUUGUUUUCAACCCGUAAAUGUAAAAAAGUGUGUGUUCUAUUGAAAGUGGGGGAAAAAAAUCUCCAGGAGAAAUAAAUAUAUCUCCUGGGUAGUGAGAAGGAAAACUAUUAUCUUUUGUUUUAGAUUAAAUCUGGUAAUUUUCAGAAAACAGAAAGGAAUUACAAAUAAAGUUGACUUAGAAAUUUCUGAUUCAUGGAAUAGUUAUUCGGUUAGUCUGGUAAAAGUUUACUUAGUUGUGUUAGAUUUUAGUUUUCCUGAUUUCAGAUUUCUCAAUGAAAAAUUAGUUUAUUUGAACAACUUGAUUUAAUGGUACUAUGGUGUUUCCCAAAUUAUUUACUGAUCCACACAACCUUGGGAUCUGCCCAUGAUUUUAUAUUGUUGCUGUGUAAAUCCUUUGGAGUCUAGAGUCUAGCAUUUUUAUUUCUUGUACCAUUAAUGGCUUUUGAAUGAUUACCUUAAGCCAGGAAUGUCAAACUUGUAACGUCACGUGACAUAUUGCGACCUUUUUACCAUUGCCAGCAAUGGGAUGGGUGCGGUUUCACCAUGAUGCAUCUGGCCUACAGGCCAGCAGUUUGACACCCUUGCCUUAAGCUGAACAGAAACACUUGCCUUUUUCUUAUUUUUAAUAAAGUUGAUUUUGAGGAUUUUUAGAGACACAUUCUAAAGAUCAAAGGGUCAAAAUACAGCUUCAGAGUUUAUUUUACUUUACUACUGCUGUGGUUAUUUUUCUGCCACUUGUCAGUAAGAUGGUCAGGUUGUGGGAUCCGUAUCUGCCCCAUACAUCACAGUUUAGUAGAAGUAGAUGGUAGUAGCAGUAACUACAAAUAGCUCCACCAAGGAAUAAAGGUCAGAAUGUGAAGGGUUUCUGAGAAUAGCAGACUGAGAUUCCCCUCAUAUUAUACAAAAGUUAAUUCAUGAAUUUUGCAAAUUCAUUUUUCACCAUAUGUUAGUUCUUUAAUCCUAUUAUUCCACAUAGCAUCUUAGCAUUCUCCAACAUGGUUCUUUCCAGACAUCUACCAUGCCUACAGUCCUAUUCAGUACAUUUGAUUACUGGCUAUGGAAAUUGUAGCACAGCUGAUCUGAAAAACAUCAGAUUAUGGAAGUCUGCUACAGAUGCUGCCUACAAAUAUACCGUAUAUUACCAUAUUCUUCUGCAUACUACACAAAAAAAUCUACAUUGGAUUUAAUUAACUAGUAGCAAGAUUGCGAUAGAGGCCUUGUUUAGAGACUAAUCCUUUCAAAACUAAAAAAUACCAAGUAAGAAAAAAGAAUUUCCUUUAUGCUAACAGAUCACGGAGCGACUUUCAAUGUGUUAAAUAUGUUUUUAGGAAUAUUUCUAAGGAAAAACUACAAAUCAUCUUAUACAAAUAAUGAACACAUAGGAUACAUUCUUUGUAAAAUACUGGAAAAAACUGUAUUUCCAGAAAUUGAGAGAAAAUUAUUUGAAGUAAAUCAUGGGGGCUUUUUUCUUAUUAUUUUUAAGAAGGAAAAACAGGUUACUUCAGGAGAUUAAAUAUACUUUAAAGGUGAUCUUGACAGAUAGGAAAGGUAUUAUGAAUAAAUUUACAUUUAAUAGAAGACAUGUUGAUCAAUGGUAACUGGUCGACACAAAAAAGCCAAACUACCAUAUUUAACCUAGCAUAAUAGCUAUUUGCUGUUUUUCUAGGAUCUAGCAGUCUUGCUCCACUUCUUAAGAUGUUCUCCAAAAAAGUAGUUUAAUGGAAUUUAAUGUCAAUAGACAUUAUAUUUGAUUUAUUAUAAUAAUGAGUGCAUUUUUUUCUUUUUACAACCCUGAAAUCCAUUUUAUCAGAGUAGAGUUGUGGCAACUGAUGGAGGUGAGCGUUUACUGGCUUGAUGCCCUUCCUGAUGACUAUGUGGAAUUCACAGAAGAUAUUUACUUUUUGUGCCCUAAUAGAAAAAUAUCUGUUGCUGCCUAGGAUUGAACUCUCAGCCUCCUGAGUGUGAGGAAUGGAUGCUUUUGACCUGCUGCUUUAGGAAAUAGAUAGCUCAACUCUGCAUUCAGUAUUUUCAUAAGCGAGAACAGUUAAUUUGGCAAAUACACUAAGCAAUGGAGAAGAAUUAAAGCAAGUAUGUUCUUCACUUAAAAUCAGACAGAUAUUAAACUUCUAACAAAUUAACAAUGUUAUAUAUAACCACAGACAGGAAAACAUACCGUGUUUUACAAGAAAAAAAUGGUAGUCGACAUGCUUUCCUCCUAGCGCUGAUUUAACCUUUAAUUUAAGCGGGAUGUUUCCUAAUACAGCACUGCACUGUUUCUAUAUCUGACUUAUAUUGUUAUCCAUCCAUGAGUUGGUACAAAACAAUACUAAUUCAACAAGUCUCAUUAUUUUCUGGGAAGAAUGGGAAAAAGAUCAUUUGUUGUAUUUUAUGAAAAGGUGAUGAGUUGAUAGUUGCUGUCAUAAAGGAGGAAGUCAUUUCUUUAUAUAUAUAUUUUAUUUUUAUUUACUACAUUUUUAUUUUUUAUUUUCAAUUUUAUUGCACUUUAUAUUUUUUAUUCUAUUUUAGCUUAUAUUAGUUUUAUAUUUGUAUUUAUAAUUUAAUUUAAUAAAAUUUCUAUCAAAACCAACCCUCAUUAUUUUCUGAAAAGUGUGAUUAGGAAAAGCAAGGAUAUUUGUAAUCAAAGGUAACAAUGAAAUUUAGAGUACUAUGGAAGUGGCAAACAUUCCUUUUUUGGAGAUAAGCUAUGUUGAAAAUUACUGGUGACGGGUAUGUAAGAACUCAGGAAACAAAAUGCAAAUGGAAAAGCUAACAAUGGAAGAGAAAUAUUUGCCUAAAGGCUACUUAGUGGGAAAUGGGUAUACAUGUCCAACGGUCACAUAACAUACUUCCCCUGAUACUCAUAACAGGUCCGAUGACCUUACCUCCAAGAUAAUGUGUGACAAAGCAUUACAGAUUUUAUUUGACUUGAUAAUAUAGAGGAACAAUAUUAGCUCAAGGGAGAAACCAGACCACUUAAUGACAUCUUAAGGCUAUUUACAUAUGGGAUGACAGUGAGGCAACAUGGGGUGAAGGAAGAUUUAUGUUAUCAUAGCUAAUUGUGCCACCACAAACUGCAAACAGCAACAUAGCUUAAAAGUAAAAAAAAAAAAAAAAAAGAUGGCGAAAUGGAACCAGUAUUACUCAAUCGGGAAUUCAAACUGGAGCUUGGGAAAUUAAGGUUCAAAUGCUACACAGACCAAAAGAAGUUUGACGGCUGAAGCCUCUAGGAGGAAAAUAGCAGAGAGAAAGAGGGGACAGAGCAGAAAGAGAGAAAUGCCUCCCUAUUUCUGGGGGGGGGGGCCUGAAGAAACAGCCUCCCUAUUUCUAAGUGCCAGAGUAAAAUAUACCAAAUGCUAGCUAAAGUACAAAAUCCGGUUUGGUGUAGUGGUCAAGACAUCAACUAGAAACUGGAAGACUGGAGUUGUAGUCCUGCCUUGGGUAUGAAGCCAGCUAUUUCAGUCCUAGGCAAUGACAAAUCAUUUCUGAAAAACCUUGCCAAGAGAACUGCAGGGAUCUGUCAAGGCAGACUCUGAAAAUUGGACAUAAUUGUACAGAAGGGGGAAAAAAGGGAGCUACAGAAUAAGAAGCCAAUGGAAAACCAUUUCUGAAAAUGUUGCCACAAAAACUGCAUGGACAUGUUCAAACAGUUGCCAGGAGUCAAAACUAACUUGAAGGCACCCACAUUAAAAACAAAACUAGGCCAAAAUCAUAAUUUUGCCUAAUAGUUAAUUAAAAAUCAAACUCUAGACCCAAAUUACUAGGCUGAAAGUUAAUAGGCAGGAAGUAAGGCACACAGCAACCAUGAAAGAAUGGCAAGUAAUAUCUAGAACAUAAACUAGGUAUAGAUUUCAUGAGAAAUCAUUGAAGGGCUCAAGGAUUUGGGACUACACCUAGGGUGGGUCAAGGCAAAGUAAAUAGCACGUACAUCUUGACUGAUGAAUGGAAACUUCAAGCUUCUUGACUCAUUGUCUAUUUAUUUAACAAAUGAUAAUCUGGUAGCUAAUAUUUAUAAUGAGUUCUCCUGCAGUUUCAAUGAUGCCAUGAACUUUGAUCAUUUCUCUCUUUCUGCUCUGUCCCCUCUUUCUUUCUCUCUGCUAUUUUCCUCCUAGAGGAUUGCCAGAAAAAGAACAGAAGCUUGCAAGAGGUUAUAACAGAUAAUUUGUAAAGAGCUUAUCAAAAAUAUCUCCCUCCUGAUAUAGGAGAAUGCUUGUUUUAGCCAUCAAUACAAAUAUGUCAAAGCAUGAAAGGAUAAAAAAGUAAGACCGAAACAAUGAAAGCUGAUUCAGGCUGGAGUCUAAAAGACUCACUGUGAAAAAAUGUGCAAAGUAUGUGAACACUAAAACUACUGGAAGAACUACAAUAAAAAACUAAAAUGAAGGCAAGAAGAGGGCAUUCAAUGGAGGUGAAUUCCUUCACCUUUUUCUUUGAACUUCUACUGCAAGCCAGCUAUUUAAAUGGUAAAACACCUUUGCAAAAAUGAAGAGAAAAAUAUAGUUUGGAUUUAUGUAUGCUUAUCCAAAGCACGCUUGAAUGUAAUUAAUGGAAUUCUGAAAAAUACGUAUGUAUAUUAUAACUUCAAAAUAAUAUUGAAGAUUAAACAUUUGUAACUGAGUGAAGUAGAAAUUAUGCAAUGUUUUAUGAUCUCAACUUGAUAAAAUUCCCAUCCUACCCUUUUGCUAAUCAGAAAUGACAGGAAUAACUUUUUAAAAAACAUAUUUUGUUUCUGAUAAUCCCUGCAUUAGGGUUAGUAUAUUGUCAAAUUUUGGAUUUGUUCCUAGAAACUAAGACCUGAUUGGAUCAGCUCCCUUUUUUGGGAAAAAAGGGCAUUUCAUUUUUCUACAGGAUUUGAACUGAUUAAUGAACUGAAAGCAGUUCAAGCUGCUGAUUGUUAUUUAUAAGCUCUUACAUGGUUUGGGACUUAAAUAACUUCAGACCAGCUAUUUGUAAUGGUUUCUGCCUGUCCAGUAAAAACUGGGAGAAAACCUAAAGGAUUUUCAUCUACAGACAGGGAACAAGACUUUUCAAUUACAUCUUCCAUUCUUUGGGAAAGUAUCCCAACCAUUUCCUUACUAUAACUGGUGUUCUCCCUAUUAACUGUCUAAAAAGCCAUUAAAACCCGGUUAUUCCAAACAACCUUGGUAAGAUAUCAUUGUGAAUGGAGAUGACUCUUACUAUAGUAUGUUUCGUGUAUGAUAUUUCUCUAGAACUAUCUUUACAAAUAAAUAUUAGUUCUUGGAAAGAAA